CAGUAUUCACUAGGUCUGUCCUCUCAGAGCAGUAUUCACUAGGUCUGUCCUCUCAGAGGAGCAGUAUUCACUAGGUCUGUCCUCUCAGAGCAGUAUUCACUAGGUCUGUCCUCUCAGAGGAGCAGUAUUCACUAGGUCUGUCCUCUCAGAGCAGUAUUCACUAGGUCUGUCCUCUCAGAGCAGUAUUCACUAGGUCUGUCCUCUCAGAGGAGCAGUAUUCACUAGGUCUGUCCUCUCAGAGCAGUAUUCACUAGGUCUGUCCUCUCAGAGCAGUAUUCACUAGGUCUGUCCUCUCAGAGGAGCAGUAUUCACUAGGUCUGUCCUCUCAGAGGAGCAGUAUUCACUAGGUCUGUCCUCUCAGAGCAGUAUUCACUAGGUCUGUCCUCUCAGAGGAGCAGUAUUCACUAGGUCUGUUCUCUCAGAGGAGCAGUAUUCACUAGGUCUGUCCUCUCAGAGCAGUAUUCACUAGGUCUGUCCUCUCAGAGGAGUAGUAUUCACUAGGUCUGUCCUCUCAGAGGAGCAGUAUUCACUAGGUCUGUCCUCUCAGAGGAGCAGUAUUCACUAGGUCUGUCCUCUCAGAGGAGCAGUAUUCACUAGGUCUGUCCUCUCAGAGGAGCAGUAUUCACUAGGUCUGUCCUCUCAGAGGAGCAGUAUUCACUAGGUCUGUCCUCUCAGAGGAGCAGUAUUCACUAGG